rnacentral:rRNA from 1 species
AGAGUUUGAUCAUGGCUCAGAACGAACGCUGGCGGCAGGCCUAACACAUGCAAGUCGAACGACACAGUGGCAGACGGGUGAGUAACGCGUGGGAACGUGCCCUUCACUACGGAAUAGCUCCGGGAAACUGGUGGUAAUACCGUAUACGCCCUUCGGGGGAAAGAUUUAUCGGUGAAGGAUCGGCCCGCGUUAGAUUAGAUAGUUGGUGGGGUAAUGGCCUACCAAGUCUACGAUCUAUAGCUGGUCUGAGAGGAUGAUCAGCCACACUGGGACUGAGACACGGCCCAGACUCCUACGGGAGGCAGCAGUGGGGAAUCUUGCACAAUGGGCGAAAGCCUGAUGCAGCCAUGCCGCGUGAAUGAUGAAGGCCUUAGGGUUGUAAAAUUCUUUCAUCAGGGACGAUAAUGACGGUACCUGAAGAAGAAGCCCCGGCUAACUUCGUGCCAGCAGCCGCGGUAAUACGAAGGGGGCUAGCGUUGUUCGGAAUUACUGGGCGUAAAGCGCACGUAGGCGGACUUUUAAGUCUGGGGUGAAAGCCCGGAGCUCAACUCCGGAACUGCCUUGGAUACUGGGAGUCUUGAGGAUGGAAGAGGUAAGUGGAAUACCGAGUGUAGAGGUGAAAUUCGUAGAUAUUCGGUGGAACACCAGUGGCGAAGGCGACUUACUGGUCCAUUUCUGACGCUGAGGUGCGAAAGUGUGGGGAGCAAACAGGAUUAGAUACCCUGGUAGUCCACACCGUAAACGAUGAGAGCUAGUUGUUGGCAGGUUUACCUGUCGGUGACGCAGCUAACGCAUUAAGCUCUCCGCCUGGGGAGUACGGCCGCAAGGUUAAAACUCAAAGAAAUUGACGGGGGCCCGCACAAGCGGUGGAGCAUGUGGUUUAAUUCGAAGCAACGCGCAGAACCUUACCCACGUUUGACAUGCCUGGAUGUGAUCAGAGAUGUGAUCGUUCCUUCGGGACCAGUGCACAGGUGCUGCAUGGCUGUCGUCAGCUCGUGUCGUGAGAUGUUGGGUUAAGUCCCGCAACGAGCGCAACCCUCACCCUUAGUUGCUAACAGGUUUGGCUGAGAACUCUAAGGGAACUGCCCGUGGCAAGCGGGAGGAAGGUGGGGAUGACGUCAAGUCCUCAUGGCCCUUACGCGUGGGGCUACACACGUGCUACAAUGGCAGUGACAAUGGGAUAAUCCCAAAAAGCUGUCUCAGUUCAGAUUGGGGUCUGCAACUCGACCCCAUGAAGUUGGAAUCGCUAGUAAUCGUGGAUCAGCAUGCCACGGUGAAUACGUUCCCGGGCCUUGUACACACCGCCCGUCACACCAUGGGAGUUGGAUUUACCCGAAGGUGGUUCGCUAACCGUAAGGAGGCAGCCAACCACGGUAGGUUCAGCGACUGGGGUGAAGUCGUAACAAGGUAGCC